GCGAGUGAGCGGCAACAGCUCAAUUUGAAAUCUGGCCCCUAGGGUCCGAGUUGUAAUUUGUAGAGGAUGCUUUUGGUGAGGUGCCGCCCGAGUUCCCUGGAACGGGACGCCACAGAGGGUGAGAGCCCCGUCUGGCUGGCCACCGAGCCUCUGUAAAGCUCCUUCGACGAGUCGAGUAGUUUGGGAAUGCUGCUCAAAAUGGGAGGUAUAUGUCUUCUAAAGCUAAAUAUUGGCCAGAGACCGAUAGCGCACAAGUAGAGUGAUCGAAAGAUGAAAAGCACCUUGAAAAGAGGGUUAAACAGUACGUGAAAUUGUUGAAAGGGAAGCGCUUGUGACCAGACUUGGGCGCGGCGAAUCAUCCGGGGUUCUCUCCGGUGCACUUCGCCGUGUUCAGGCCAGCAUCAGUUCGGCGCGGGGGAAAAAGGCUUCGGGAACGUGGCUGCUCCGGCAGUGUUAUAGCCCGUUGCAUAAUACCCUGCGCUGGACUGAGGACCGCGCAUCUGCAAGGAUGCUGGCGUAAUGGUCACCAGCGACCCGUCUUGAAAAAA
rnacentral:rRNA from 1 species